UACACACACACACAUACACACACACACA
rnacentral:piRNA from 1 species